UAAGGAAUAUUGCUCAAUGGGAGAAAUCCUGAAGCAGCAACGCCGCGUGGAGGAUGAAGGGUCUAUGACUUGUAAACUCCUGUAAAGAAGGAAAAAAUUCCCAUUUGAUGGGAGAUGAUGGUACUUCUGGAGUAAGCCCCGGCUAACUACGUGCCAGCAGCCGCGGUAAUACGUAGGGGGCAAGCGUUGUCCAGAUUUACUGGGUGUAAAGGGUGCUCAGGCGGAUUUGUAAGUCAGAGGUGAAAUCUUACAGCUUAACUGUGAAACUGCCUUUGAUACUGCAAGCCUAGAGUAUGGAAGAGAGUGAUGGAAUAUCUGGUGUAGCAGUGAAAUGCGUAGAUAUCAGAUAGAACACCAAUGGCGAAGGCAGUCACUUGGUCCAUUACUGACGCUAAAGCACGAAAGCGUGGGUAGCAAACA
rnacentral:rRNA from 1 species